rnacentral:rRNA from 1 species
AUUGAACGCUGGCGGCAUGCCUUACACAUGCAAGUCGAACGGCAGCACGGAGCUUGCUCUGGUGGCGAGUGGCGAACGGGUGAGUAAUAUAUCGGAACGUACCCUAGAGUGGGGGAUAACGUAGCGAAAGUUACGCUAAUACCGCAUACGAUCUAAGGAUGAAAGUGGGGGAUUCGCAAGAACCUCAUGCUCGUGGAGCGGCCGAUAUCUGAUUAGCUAGUUGGUAGGGUAAAAGCCUACCAAGGCAUCGAUCAGUAGCUGGUCUGAGAGGACGACCAGCCACACUGGAACUGAGACACGGUCCAGACUCCUACGGGAGGCAGCAGUGGGGAAUUUUGGACAAUGGGCGAAAGCCUGAUCCGGCAAUGCCGCGUGAGUGAAGAAGGCCUUCGGGUUGUAAAGCUCUUUUGUCAGGGAAGAAACGGUGAAAGCUAAUAUCUUUUGCUAAUGACGGUACCUGAAGAAUAAGCACCGGCUAACUACGUGCCAGCAGCCGCGGUAAUACGUAGGGUGCAAGCGUUAAUCGGAAUUACUGGGCGUAAAGCGUGCGCAGGCGGUUUUGUAAGUCUGAUGUGAAAUCCCCGGGCUCAACCUGGGAAUUGCAUUGGAGACUGCAAGGCUAGAAUCUGGCAGAGGGGGGUAGAAUUCCACGUGUAGCAGUGAAAUGCGUAGAUAUGUGGAGGAACACCGAUGGCGAAGGCAGCCCCCUGGGUCAAGAUUGACGCUCAUGCACGAAAGCGUGGGGAGCAAACAGGAUUAGAUACCCUGGUAGUCCACGCCCUAAACGAUGUCUACUAGUUGUCGGGUCUUAAUUGACUUGGUAACGCAGCUAACGCGUGAAGUAGACCGCCUGGGGAGUACGGUCGCAAGAUUAAAACUCAAAGGAAUUGACGGGGACCCGCACAAGCGGUGGAUGAUGUGGAUUAAUUCGAUGCAACGCGAAAAACCUUACCUACCCUUGACAUGGCUGGAAUCCUUGAGAGAUCAGGGAGUGCUCGAAAGAGAACCAGUACACAGGUGCUGCAUGGCUGUCGUCAGCUCGUGUCGUGAGAUGUUGGGUUAAGUCCCGCAACGAGCGCAACCCUUGUCAUUAGUUGCUACGAAAGGGCACUCUAAUGAGACUGCCGGUGACAAACCGGAGGAAGGUGGGGAUGACGUCAAGUCCUCAUGGCCCUUAUGGGUAGGGCUUCACACGUCAUACAAUGGUACAUACAGAGCGCCGCCAACCCGCGAGGGGGAGCUAAUCGCAGAAAGUGUAUCGUAGUCCGGAUUGUAGUCUGCAACUCGACUGCAUGAAGUUGGAAUCGCUAGUAAUCGCGGAUCAGCAUGUCGCGGUGAAUACGUUCCCGGGUCU